UGGUGCCCGAACAGGGACCUGGAAACGAGGGACUCUGUGAGGAAGAGGACGCCAAAGGAUGGUCGACCGUUAACAUAGACAAAAGGAAUUAAACUGAUCACCGCGGGAACCUGCCGCGUCAGGAUCGAAGAAAAUGAA
rfam:Macaca mulatta chromosome 17, whole genome shotgun sequence.